rnacentral:rRNA from 1 species
AUUGAACGCUGGCGGCAUGCAUUACACAUGCAAGUCGAACGGUAACAGGCCGCAAGGUGCUGACGAGUGGCGAACGGGGGAGUACUGCAUCGGAACGUGCCCAGUCGUGGGGGAUAACGCUGCGAAAGCCUCGCUAAUACCGCAUUCGACCUGUGGAGGAAAGCGGGGGACCGUAAGGCCUCGCGCGAUUGGAGCGGCCGAUGUCAGAUUAGGUAGUUGGUGGGGUAAAGGCGCACCAAGCCAACGAUCUGUAGCUGGGCUGAGAGGACGACCAGCCACACUGGGACUGAGACACGGCCCAGACUCCUACAGGAGGCAGCAGUGGGGAAUUUUGGACAAUGGGCGCAAGCCUGAUCCAGCAAUGCCGCGUGCAGGAAGAAGGCCUUCGGGUUGUAAACUGCUUUUGUACGGAACGAAACGGUCCUGGUUAAUACCUGGGGCUAAUGACGGUACCGUAAGAAUAAGCACCGGCUAACUACGUGCCAGCCGCCGCGGUAAAAC